rnacentral:rRNA from 1 species
GCGCUAUCGGAUGAGCCUAGGUCGGAUUAGCUAGUUGGUGAGGUAAUGGCUCACCAAGGCGACGAUCCGUAGCUGGUCUGAGAGGAUGAUCAGCCACACUGGGACUGAGACACGGCCCAG